rnacentral:rRNA from 1 species
GCAGCGGGAGGUGCUUGCACCUCGCCGGCGAGCGGCGGACGGGUGAGUAAUGCAUAGGAAUCUGCCCGGUAGUGGGGGAUAACCUGGGGAAACCCAGGCUAAUACCGCAUACGUCCUACGGGAGAAAGCAGGGGAUCUUCGGACCUUGCGCUAUCGGAUGAGCCUAUGCCGGAUUAGCUAGUUGGUAGGGUAAUGGCCUACCAAGGCAACGAUCCGUAGCUGGUCUGAGAGGAUGAUCAGCCACACUGGGACUGAGACACGGCCCAGACUCCUACGGGAGGCAGCAGUGGGGAAUAUUGGACAAUGGGCGAAAGCCUGAUCCAGCCAUGCCGCGUGUGUGAAGAAGGCUUUCGGGUUGUAAAGCACUUUCAGUGGGGAAGAAAGCCUGUCGGCUAAUACCCGGCAGGGACGACAUCACCCACAGAAGAAGCACCGGCUAACUCCGUGCCAGCAGCCGCGGUAAUACGGAGGGUGCGAGCGUUAAUCGGAAUUACUGGGCGUAAAGCGCGCGUAGGCGGCGUGAUAAGCCGGUUGUGAAAGCCCCGGGCUCAACCUGGGAACGGCAUCCGGAACUGUCAGGCUAGAGUGCAGGAGAGGAAGGUAGAAUUCCCGGUGUAGCGGUGAAAUGCGUAGAGAUCGGGAGGAAUACCAGUGGCGAAGGCGGCCUUCUGGACUGACACUGACGCUGAGG